rnacentral:rRNA from 1 species
CCAGACUCCUACGGGAGGCAGCAGUUAAGAAUAUUCCGCAAUGGACGAAAGUCUGACGGAGCGACGCCGCGUGGAUGAAGAAUGCCGAAAGGUUGUAAAAUCCUUUUAAGCCUGAGGAAUAAGCACAGUAGGGAAUGAUUGUGUGGUGACUGUAGGGCUUGAAUAAGCACCGGCAAAUUACGUGCCAGCAGCCGCGGUAACACGUAAGGUGCGAGCGUUGUUCGGAAUUAUUGGGCGUAAAGGGCAUGUAGGCGGAUGAGCAAGCUUGGUGUGAAAUGCUACAGCUUAACUGUGGGACAGCAUUGAGAACUGCACAUCUUGAAUUACUGAAGGGUAACUAGAAUUCCACGUGUAGGGGUGAAAUCUGUAGAUAUGUGGAAGAAUACCAAUGGCGAAGGCAAGUUACCGGCAGAUAAUUGACGCUGAGGUGCGAAAGUGCGGGGAGCGAACAGGAUUAGAUACCCUGGUAGUCCGCACAGUAAACGAUGUACACUAGGUGUCUGGCAACAAAGCUGGGUGCCAAAGCAAACGUGGUAAGUGUACCGCCUGGGGAGUAUGCCCGCAAGGGUGAAACUCAAAGGAAUUGACGGGGGCCCGCACAAGAAGGGCGAAUU